rnacentral:rRNA from 1 species
UGGGGAAUCUUCCGCAAUGGACGAAAGUCUGACGGAGCAACGCCGCGUGAGUGAUGACGGCCUUCGGGUUGUAAAGCUCUGUUAAUCGGGACGAAAGGCCUUCUUGCAAAUAGUGAGAAGGAUUGACGGUACCGGAAUAGAAAGCCACGGCUAACUACGUGCCAGCAGCCGCGGUAAUACGUAGGUGGCAAGCGUUGUCCGGAAUUAUUGGGCGUAAAGCGCGCGCAGGCGGAUCAGUCAGUCUGUCUUAAAAGUUCGGGGCUUAACCCCGUGAUGGGAUGGAAACUGCUGAUCUAGAGUAUCGGAGAGGAAAGUGGAAUUCCUAGUGUAGCGGUGAAAUGCGUAGAUAUUAGGAAGAACACCAGUGGCGAAGGCGACUUUCUGGACGAAAACUGACGCUGAGGCGCGAAAGCCAGGGGAGCGAACGGGAUUAGAUACCCCGGUAGUCCUGGCCGUAAACGAUGGGUACUAGGUGUAGGAGGUAUCGACCCCUUCUGUGCCGGAGUUAACGCAAUAAGUACCCCGCCUGGGGAGUACGACCGCAAGGUUG